AUAAGAGGUCCCGCCUGCCCUGUGACCCUGGGUUUAACGGCCGCGGUAUUUUGACCGUGCGAAGGUAGCGCAAUCACUUGUCUUUUAAAUGGAGACCUGUAUGAAUGGCACGACGAGGGCUUAACUGUCUCCCUCUCCUGGUCAAUGAAAUUGAUCUCCCCGUGCAGAAGCGGGGAUAUUUUCAUAAGACGAGAAGACCCUAUGGAGCUUUAGACAAAAGGCAGACCACGUUUAACCUCCCCACCACAGGGCCAAACACAGUGUUCCCUAGCCUGAGUGUCUUUGGUUGGGGCGACCGCGGGGGAAAACCAAGCCCCCAUGUGGACUGGGGAAACCAUUCCCUAGAGCCAUGAGCUACAGCUCUUAGCAACAGAAUUUCUGACCAAAAAUGAUCCGGUAUAUACCGAUCAACGGACCAAGUUACCCUAGGGAUAACAGCGCAAUCCCCUCCCAGAGUCCCUAUCGACAAGGGGGUUUACGACCUCGAUGUUGGAUCAGGACAUCCUAAUGGUGCAGCCGCUGUUAAGGGUUCGUUUGUUCAACGAUUAAAGUCC
rnacentral:rRNA from 1 species